rnacentral:rRNA from 1 species
UUAGAGUAGAGAACUUUGGUUAUCUGUUCUUAUGCCCGAGCGGCGGACGGCUGAGUAACGCGUAGGAACGUACCCCAAAGUGAGGGAUAAGCACCGGAAACGGUGUCUAAUACCGCAUAUGGUCUUCGGAUUAAAGCAGCAAUGCGCUAUGGGAACGGCCUGCGUCGGAUUAGCUAGUUGGUGAGGUAAUGGCUCACCAAGGCGACGAUCCGUAGCUGGUCUGAGAGGAUGAUCAGCCAGACUGGAACUGAGACACGGUCCAGACUCCUACGGGAGGCAGCAGUUASGAAUCUUCCACAAUGGGGGCAACCCUGAUGGAGCAACACCGCGUGCUGGAUGAAGGCCUUCGGGUCGUAAACAGCUUUUGUAUACGAAGAAUAUGACGGUAAUAUACGAAUAAGGGUCGGCUAACUACGUGCCAGCAGCCGCGGUCAUACGUAGGACCCAAGCGUUAUCCGGAGUGACUGGGCGUAAAGAGUUGCGUAGGCGGCUUAUUAAGCGAGUAGUGAAAUCUGGUGGCUCAACCAUCAACACAUUGCUCGAACUGAUAGGCUUGAGAAUGGUAGAGGUAGUUGGAAUUUCUUGUGUAGGAGUGAAAUCCCGUAGAUAUAAGAAGGAACACCAAAUGGGCGUAGGCAGACUACUGGACCAUUUCUGACGC